AAUCAGUGGGAACCCAGAGCUUGAUUUCCUGCAAUUAUAUGGUCCCAUCUGGGGGUGAUAGGAGACAGUGACAGAUCAUCAGGCAUUAGAUUCUCAUAAGGAGAGAGCAACCUAGAACCCUCACAUGCGCAGUUUACUAUAGAGAUUGGGCUGCUGUGA